CCAGACGCCGUGCGGCGGAAAGGGUCAGCGGGUGAGUCCAGUACUGCAGAAGAGACUCAUCCGCCCCGAAGACCACGCCGGUGGCUAGGGCUGGUGGCGCGCUGAAGAACCCACGGCGGCACAGCCUCUCCGCUCGCCUCGGCAGCCUCGCUCCCCCGCACGGCCGCACGGAUGGUGGUUCCAGCACCCCAAACGGCGAUAGGCGUCCGGGGUCUGAUAUAGAUCGUACCGGCGCUCACCCGGCGGAUGGAACCAAGUCACCGGCGCCCACCAGCAGCCUGCCUAGCCGUUCUUCUCCAUCCGUUCUCACAGGUGGUCCCAUAAGCAGAUAAGCUUGCUGUCUUCACUCUUCAUUGAGAAUUGUCACGGGGUGCCAGUGUUGGCUGUUGCCCAUGCUCACCUUUUGUGGACCGCAUCUGCCUCAACUUGUAUGUAAAAUUGUAAAUACAGGCUUGCAUGAUACUACUAUGUCACGGAGUAGAGUAUUCAUUUGACAUCUCACCUAUGUAGCCUGCUGCCUGUUUGUAAGGGUGGGCUAACGGUGUUACUUUUUCUGGACUAUGGAAGAUGGGAGCAUUCCAUCACAGAAAAGCUUGCUUCACGAUGACCCAUCAUUAUCUGAAUCUUGUGGCUGGUGCAGCAUUGUAAUUCUGUAUUGUACAUGUGAUUGUAAAAACAGUCCUCAAAUGAGAACAGUCAGUAAAUCAAUGUUUACAUGAUAUUUACA